UACGUAGGGUGCAAGCGUUAAUCGGAAUUACUGGGCGUAAAGCGUGCGCAGGCGGUUAUGCAAGACAGAUGUGAAAUCCCCGGGCUUAACCUGGGAACUGCAUUUGUGACUGCAUAGCUGGAGUACGGUAGAGGGGGAUGGAAUUCCGCGUGUAGCAGUGAAAUGCGUAGAGAUCCGGAAGAACACCGGUGGCGAAGGCGGUCGACUGGGCAGUGGCUGACGCUGAGGCGCGACAGCGUGGGGAGCAAACAGG
rnacentral:rRNA from 1 species